AUCCCCGGAGAAAUUCACGAAUGUGGAUGCCGAAGGUGCAAACAGGCUUGACCUGCCAAUCUCUCAGGCAAAAGGACGGGGCG
rnacentral:ncRNA from 1 species